rnacentral:lncRNA from 1 species
CCCAGUCCCUCCUUCAGGAGGCGCGGAAUUCGUGCCCAGUUUGAGAAACCGGCAUGGCGGACGUUUCUUCUAAGUCCAGACUGAAACGAAAGAAGUCUUCUGUGGUAGAGCUACAGUCUGAUCAGUUAAAUCCGAAAGAUGAGAAAGCAACAUUAGCGCUGACAGUGAACUGUGCAGCCAUUACUGAAGGGCCAGUGGGCGGAGCCUCAGUGUGGUGGAACAGAGCACAGCCGCCUGCUGUGGAGAGCCUGUGGGCGUUUGCACUGAAGUCUGUCUUUCUUCCAUCCUCUACAAGCAAGCGCUUUGAUUGGCUGACGGAUCUCCCACUGCCAUCUGCAGUGGCGCCUGUAGCACAGUCAUCAGAGGAUGGGUGGAGCUAUGACCUCAGCGCUGCAGUAGCUCCUCUGCCUGAGCCGCCUGCCCUGCCUGUGGCUCCACCCACACUGGACUCCUCCCCUCAGGACUGCACACCUGUGUCGGGCCUACCUGAGAGAACAACGUCUGGAAGGAUUUCUAAUCAUGCAGUUGUUUGUCAGCCGCCUCCAUCAUCAGAAACCAGUCGUGUUGAUGGAGGCAACGCCGUCUCAUGUUGCUCGUUUAAUGUUCCUCUCUCACCGCCGCCCGACCGUCAACAAACGCCUGUGGGAGUGGCAGACAAGGAGGAGGAGUUGGCGAUGGGGCAAGAGAAGAAAAAUGUCUCAGAGCAUGGAGGGAAUCCAGCAGCAGCAGCAGCAGGAGGAGGAGGGGAAGGGCUGCACAGCUGUCCCAUGUGUCUGCAGGUGUUUCCUGACGGGUGUUCACAGAUGGAGCGUGACGGCCACCUGGCUCAGUGUCUGUCAGACAUGAAUGUGGAUGUGACCUGGUGA